rnacentral:rRNA from 1 species
AAACUUGAGAGUUUGAUCCUGGCUCAGAACUAACGCUGGCGGCGUGCCUAACACAUGCAAGUCGUACGAGAAAGUCCGCUUCGGUGGAUCAGUAAAGUGGCGCACGGGUGAGUAACGCGUGGAUAAUCUACCCCUCAGUUGGGAAUAACGUACCGAAAGGUGCGCUAAUACCGAAUGACACUGCACAUCUUCUGUUGUGUAGUCAAAGAUGGCCUCUGCUUGCAAGCUUUCGCUGAAGGAUGAGUCCGCGUACCAUUAGCUAGUUGGCAGGGUAAUGGCCUACCAAGGCAACGAUGGUUAGCUGGUCUGAGAGGAUGAUCAGCCACACUGGAACUGAGACACGGUCCAGACUCCUACGGGAGGCAGCAGUGAGGAAUAUUGCGCAAUGG